GACAUUCCUGGACUGACAGAUAC
rnacentral:piRNA from 1 species